rnacentral:pre_miRNA from 1 species
CAACUUAUCGGCAGGUCGUCCUUGGCUACAUUUCACUCUCUUCUGCUCAUGUAAGGCUUUGUAAGACGCAUAUAUAGUUCGAGGUGAAGUCAGUGAUUGCGUUUCACAAAUCACAUCCAGUUGAAUUGCUCAUAAUUUGUCUAGAGAGUCAUUGCAUGAAGAGGUAGGGAGUGGAUUGCAGCCAAGGAUGACUUGCCGGGAUGUUGUAG